AUACGGAGGGAGCGAGCGUUAAUCGGAAUUACUGGGCGUAAAGCGCGCGUAGGCGGCUUUGUAAGUCGGAUGUGAAAGCCCAGGGCUCAACCCUGGAAUUGCAUUCGAUACUGCAUGGCUAGAGUAUGGUAGAGGGUAGUCGAAUUCCUGGUGUAGCGGUGAAAUGCGUAGAUAUCAGGAGGAACAUCAGUGGCGAAGGCGGCCAACUGGACCGGAUCUGACGCUGAGGUGCGAAAGCGUGGGGAGCAAACAGGAUUAGAAACCCGGGUAGUCC
rnacentral:rRNA from 1 species